UGUCUGUGAUGAUUCUAUCCCGAACCUGAACUCCUGUUGAAAAAAAACACAAACGGAUCUGGCUUCUGAGAU
rnacentral:snoRNA from 13 species